rnacentral:rRNA from 1 species
AUUGAACGCUAGCGGGAUGCUUUACACAUGAAAGUCGAACGAGUCGCGGACGGGAGAGUAAUAUAUAGGAACGGGCCCAGUAGCGGGGGAUAAAUAACGGAACAAGAGGCUAAUAACGCAUACUAUUGGAGCGGCCGAUAGCGGAUUAGCUAGUUGGUGGGGUCCAGGAUCAACAAGGCAACGAUCCGUAGCUGGUGUGAGAGGACGAACAGCCACACUGGGACGGAGACACGGUCCAGACUACUACGGGAGGCAGCAGGGGGGAAUUUUGGACAAUGGGGGAAACCCUGAUCCAGCCAUCCCGCGUGUAUGAGAAGGCCUUCGGGUUGUAAAGUACUUUUGGCAGUGAAGCGGUAGCUGCAGAAUAAGCACCGGCUAACUACGUGCCAGCAGCCGCGGUAAUUC